UGUUUCUUCGAUGUUUCAGGCUUCACCUAUGACAAUUGGUGGGCGUCAAGCUUUUGUUGAGGAAAAGAGGUCUACAAACAGUUCUAGAGGCAAGUUGGAUUUUAUGUUGAGUUAUUCAUUUAAAAGAAGGAAUGUCUCUAAAAAUGAAAUGUCUAUGAGUUGCAUAGUGAAUGGAUAACAUCUUUUGCUGGAUUGAGGUAUGUCCUUGUCAAGAUAAAGGAAAGACAUGAUAUCUUUUCUUGUGCUAGU
rnacentral:lncRNA from 1 species